UACGUAGGGUGCAAGCGUUAAUCGGAAUUACUGGGCGUAAAGCGUGCGCAGGCGGUUUUGUAAGUCUGUCGUGAAAUCCCCCGGACUCAACCUGGGAAUUGCGAUGGAGACUGCAAGGCUAGAAUCUGGCAGAGGGGGGGUAGAAUUCCACGUGUAGCAGUGAAAUGCGUAGAGAUGUGGAGGAACACCGAUGGCGAAGGCAGCCCCCUGGGUCAAGAUUGACGCUCAUGCACGAAAGCGUGGG
rnacentral:rRNA from 1 species